CGGGGUGUAGCUUAGUCCGGUUAAAGCGCACGUCUGGGGGGCGUGAGAUCGAAGGUUCAAAUCCUUUCACCCCGACCA
rnacentral:tRNA from 1 species